CUACGGGACGCACCAGUAGGGAAUCUUCCACAAUGGGCGAAAGCCUGAUGGAGCAACGCCGCGUGAGUGAAGAAGGUUUUCGGAUCGUAAAACUCUGUUGUAAGGGAAGAACAAGUACAGUAGUAACUGGCUGUACCUUGACGGUACCUUAUUAGAAAGCCACGGCUAACUACGUGCCAGCAGCCGCGGUAAUACGUAGGUGGCAAGCGUUGUCCGGAAUUAUUGGGCGUAAAGCGCGCGCAGGCGGUCCUUUAAGUCUGAUGUGAAAGCCCACGGCUCAACCGUGGAGGGUCAUUGGAAACUGGGGGUCUCGAGAGCAGAAGAGGAAAGUGGAAUUCCAAGUGUAGCGGUGAAAUGCGUAGAGAUUUGGAGGAACACCAGUGGCGAAGGCGACUUUCUGGUCUGUAACUGACGCUGAGGCGCGAAAGCGUGGGGAGCAAACAGGAUUAGAUACCCGAGUAGUC
rnacentral:rRNA from 1 species